UACGGAGGGCGCAAGCGUUGUUCGGAAUCACUGGGCGUAAAGCGCGUGUAGGCGGCUCUGCAAGUCGGGUGUGAAAUCCCGAGGCUCAACCUCGGAACUGCACUCGAUACUGCUUGGCUCGAGUCCCGGAGAGGGUGGCGGAAUUCCCGGUGUAGGGGUGAAAUCCGUAGAUAUCGGGAGGAACACCAGUGGCGAAGGCGGCCACCUGGACGGUGACUGACGCUGAGACGCGAAAGCGUCGGGAGCAAACAGG
rnacentral:rRNA from 1 species